rnacentral:rRNA from 1 species
UACGAAGGGUGCAAGCGUUACUCGGAAUUACUGGGCGUAAAGCGUGCGUAGGUGGUUUGUUAAGUCUGCUGUGAAAUCCCCGGGCUCAACCUGGGAAUGGCAGUGGAUACUGGCAAGCUAGAGUGCGGUAGAGGGUAGUGGAAUUCCCGGUGUAGCAGUGAAAUGACGUAGAGAUCGGGAGGAACACCAGUGGCGAAGGCGGGUUGCUGGGCCGACACUGACGCUGAUGCGCGAAAGCCAGGGAGCGAACGG